rnacentral:miRNA from 14 species
CAUUUCUUUUGUGUGCAUGUGCAUGUACAUGUGUGCAUGUGCAUGCACACACACACACACACACACACACACACACACACACACACACACACA